UACGGGGGGGCAAGCGUUGUUCGGAAUUACUGGGCGUAAAGGGCUCGUAGGCGGCCAACUAAGUCAGACGUGAAAUCCCUCGGCUUAACCGGGGAACUGCGUCUGAUACUGGAUGGCUUGAGUUUGGGAGAGGGAUGCGGAAUUCCAGGUGUAGCGGUGAAAUGCGUAGAUAUCUGGAGGAAUACCGGUGGCGAAGGCGGCAUCCUGGACCGGCAUUGACGCUGAGGAGCGAAAGCCAGGGGAGCAAACGGG
rnacentral:rRNA from 1 species